rnacentral:rRNA from 1 species
AUACGGAGGAUCCGAGCGUUAUCCGGAUUUAUUGGGUUUAAAGGGUGCGCAGGCGGCCAUUUAAGUCAGCGGUUAAAUCGUGGGGCUCAACCCCAUUCUGCCGUUGAUACUGGGUGGCUUGAUUGCGGUCGAGGUUGGCGGAAUUCUUUGUGUAGCGGUGAAAUGCAUAGAUAUGACGAAGAACACGGAUUGCGUAGGCAGCUGACCAGACCGCAAAUGACGCUCAUGCACGAAAGUGCGGGGAACGAACAGGAUUAGAUACCCAGGUAGACCGCACAGUAAACGAUGAAUACUUGUUUUCGGCUAUAUAAGGUCGGAGGUAAAGCUAAAGCGAUAAGUAUUCCGCCUGGGGAGUACGCCGGCAACGGUGAAACUCAAAGGAAUUGACGGGG